rnacentral:rRNA from 1 species
GACGAACGCUGGCGGCGCGCCUAACACAUGCAAGUCGAACGGAGUCAAGAGGAGCUUGCUUUUCUUGACUUAGUGGCGAACGGGUGAGUAACGCGUGAGUAACCUGCCCUGGAGUGGGGGACAACAGUUGGAAACGACUGCUAAUACCGCAUAAGCCCACGGAUCCGCAUGGAUCUGCGGGAAAAGGAUUUAUUCGCUUCAGGAUGGACUCGCGUCCAAUUAGCUAGUUGGUGAGGUAACGGCCCACCAAGGCGACGAUUGGUAGCCGGACUGAGAGGGUGAACGGCCACAUUGGGACUGAGACACGGCCCAGACUCCUACGGGAAGCAGCAGUGGGGGAUAUUGCACAAUGGGGGAAACCCUGAUGCAGCGACGCCGCGUGGAGGAAGAAGGUUUUCGGAUUGUAAACUCCUGUCGUUAGGGACGAUAAUGACGGUACCUAACAAGAAAGCACCGGCUAACUACGUG